GACGAACGCUGGUGGCGUGCCUAAUACAUGCAAGUCGAACGCAGUGGGGACGGGUGAGUAACACGUGGGUAACCUACCAUCAGAGGGGAUAACACUUGGAAACAGGUGCUAAACCGAUACUGAUGGAUGGCCCUGCGGGGAAUUAGCUAGUUGGGGAGGUAAAGGCUCACCAAGGCCACGAUGCAUAGCCGGCCUGAGAGGGUGAUCGGCCACACUGGGACUGAGACACGGCCCAGACUCCUACGGGAGGCAGCAGGGGGGAAUAUUCGACAAUGGACGAAAGUCUGACCGAGCAACGCCGCGUGAUUGAAGAAGGUUUUCGGAUCGUAAAACUCUGUUAUUGGAGAAGCGGUAUCUAACCAGAAAGCCACGGCUAACUACGUGCCAGCAGCCGCGGUAAUAC
rnacentral:rRNA from 1 species